rnacentral:rRNA from 1 species
CGUGCUUAACACAUGCAAGUCGAACGGGUCUGCCUUGUUUUUUGCGGGGUGGGUCAGUGGCGAACGGGUGAGUAACACGUGAGUAACCUGCCCCUCACUUCUGGAUAACCGCUUGAAAGGGUGGCUAAUACGGGGUGUUCUGGCUGUGCCGCAUGGUGUGGCUGGGAAAGAUUCACUUUUGUGGUGUUUUGGUGGGGGAUGGGCUCGCGGCCUAUCAGCUUGUUGGUGGGGUGAUGGCCUGCCAAGGCUUUGACGGGUAGCCGGCCUGAGAGGGUGGGCGGUCACACUGGGACUGAGAUACGGCCCAGACUCCUGCGGGAGGCAGCAGUGGGGGGUAUUGCACAAUGGGCGGAAGCCUGAUGCAGCGACGUCGCGUGAGGGAUGGAGGCCUUCGGGUUGUGAACCUCUUUCGCCGGUGAAGAAGGUCCUGUUCUUUGUGGUGGGGCUGACGGUAGCCGGGUUAUGAAGCGCCGGCUAACUACGUGCCAGCAGCCGCG